rfam:Freshwater sediment metagenome lwFormaldehyde_BHFI11477_g1, whole genome shotgun sequence.
GCGACCGUGAGGGAGCGUCUGAAGGAAGCGGGGAACGAACCGACGGGCUGACGAACAGAAACCGGAUAUGAGGCGGUGCUGAUCAGGGCGAGCGGGCACAUGACCGCGAAGCUCUCGUGACCAAAGGUCAGUGGCGUAAAUCCGGUAGUCGUGUCGGGAAGGCCAGUGUU